rnacentral:rRNA from 1 species
AUUGAACGCUGGCGGCGUGCCUAACACAUGCAAGUCGAGCGGUAACAGGUGUAGCAAUACAUGCUGACGAGCGGCGAACGGGUGAGUAAUGCAUUGGAAUCUUCCCAGUAGUGGGGAAUAACCAGUCGAAAGAUUGGCUAAUACCGCAUACGUCUGUGAAGAGAAAGCGGGGGAUCGUAAGACCUCGCGCUAUUGGAUGAGCCAAUGUCGGAUUAGCUAGUUGGUGAGGUAAUGGCUCACCAAGGCGACAAUCCGUAGCUGGUCUGAGAGGACGACC